AAAAGUAAGUAAUCUUUGUACCUCCUGUUGAGCCCUAUCACUCCACACUGUUGGUUCAGCCUGUGCUCUCAUGAUGAGACACACAGCUGGAGGGGAAAUGUAAAGAGAGCUAGAAAGGAAGGUUAGUAACAUGACAGUCAGAAGGAGAGAGUUCUAAAAGCUCAUGGCAAGACUCAGCUGGGGGGAAUGUGAUGCUUUUUAAGCAUUCAUGGUGAGUCUUGAUGUACCACAGCCUGUGAAAGGAUCGGUAAUUGCAGUAGUUUGAGAUUAAAAGGACCUUCUAGCCUAAGAAACCUUUUGACUGUAUCUUUACAAGGGUGCUAUUUUUGUGGGACUGAGCACAUUUUGAAAUGAGUGAUUUAGUUAUAAUAGCCGCUAUAUAUAUCCUAAUUUUAUGUUGAUGAUGAAGUUCACGAACCAUGUCCAUUUUCUGUUGGCAUGUGGAAGGUGAAUUGAGAAAUCUUGGAGCAUAGCUGGAAAUGACAUUUUUAUGACCUAGCAGGUAUUUAUUUCACUGCACUGGCAAAGUCCAUUAUUCUGUUCAGCUUUUGUAUUUAUACUGCUCAUUCUGGUUAAAAAAAAAAUUCCCAAUGUAUUGUUGUCACCAAGAUGAGGAAUUUUUUAGCCUAUUUGCCUUCGGGAAUGUGUUAGACUCUUUCUAAAGCACCUUGCAAUAGGUGAGUAAGAAAACCAACCUCCUGUCCGCUUUAUCCAGCCCUUUGCAUCUGUGAAGUAGCUGAAAGACAGCGCACUUCCAGGAAGCUGAUGGGUUAAGAGACUGACAAGACAUUUCUAGUUUGAUAUAACUUGAGACUUAAAAACAAGCUAUGCUUAUGAAAGAUGCCUCAAAUGUGUCUUAACCUUCCAGGUAUAUCACCAAUCAAGGAAGCAAUCACUGAGAUAUAUUUAAGAAUCUCUUCAGUUGGUUUUACAAUGAAAAGUAAUAAAUGUUUUUCUUUUGAAUAAAAUAGUAUGGGAUAAAUUCUCUAGAAAAUAA